CGCGUAGGUGGUAGUGUAAGUCUGGGGUGGAAUCCCAGGGCUCAACCCUGGAACUGCCUUGGAAACUGCAUUACUUGAGUCAGUGAGGGGAGGGUAGAAUUCCUGGUGUAGCGGUGAAAUGCGUAGAUAUCAGGAGGAAGGCCUGUGGCGAAGGCGGCCCUCUGGCGCUGGACUGACACUGAGGCGCGAAAGGCGUGGGGAGCAAACAGGAUUAGAUACCCUGGUAGUCCACGCCCUAAACGGUGGGCACUAGGUGUAGGGCUCGUAAGGGUUCUGUGCCGAAGGGAACCAUUAAGUGCCCCGCCUGGGGAGUACGGCCGCAAGGUUGAA
rnacentral:rRNA from 1 species